rnacentral:lncRNA from 1 species
UAUAAAUCAACUAUAAUAAAUUUUAAAAGGAGUAAAUUAUAUCUUUAUAUAUUUGAAUGGAAAAUUGCCUACAAAAUAGUAAAUGAGUUAUGGAACAUAACAUAGUAUUAUCCUGCAUUGUAAAUAUAUAUAAUCAUAGUUAGUCUAAAAUCUAGUAGAUCAAGAAGUUAUGAAGUCUGUUUCUUUUUCUGUAUCAUCAAUUUCUUUAUAACACUAAUAAAAACAUUAUCUGUUAAAGUUUUUGAGUCAGGCAGGGGCAUGAUCAGAGCCAUGCUUUAGAUAGAUAAUGCCGUGUAUAUACCAACAGAAAUCUUAUCAUCUUGGAAGCCAGUUAACAUACUCAUGCUCAUUUUCACUUUCUAUUGUGUUGAUUUAUGCCUUCAAGAUCUUUACUGAAAUCACUCCAGACACAUCUAGAUCUGUCUAUACAGUACAGGCAAAGUGAAAAUUUUGGUCUAACUGAUCUAAAUGGACACUUCCCAUGAAUUGUUCACAUCUAGGGCUGUUUGUUAUAUGAACCGGAGAGAUUUUAAGAACAGAGUCUUAGAUCCUACCCUGAAACUGGGCACCAUGUAUAUUUUUAAAAACACAAUAGAUGAUUCUGAUGCAUGCUUAGGCUUGAGAACUGAAAUCUUGGGCCUACAUGAUGUCUUCAUAAAAUUUAAAUGGAAAUGUACAUGGCAAAGAGAGGCUUAGAAUUUGUCUUCCAAGAUGUUUUUCAAUAUGUGCCAGAAAAUAUAUAUGUAUAUAUAUGUGUGUGUGUGUGUAUAUAUAUAUAUUUGUCUUCCAAGAUGUUUUUCAAUAUGUGCCAGAAAAUAUAUAUGUGUGUAUAUAUAUAUAUGUAUGUAUAUAUAUAUAUUUGUCUUUUUUUGUCUUUUCUAGGACUGCACCCAUGGCAUACGGAGGUUCCCAGGCUAGGGGUCUAAUUAGAGCUGAAGCCGCUGGCCUUUGCCAGAGCCAUAGCGAUGCAGGGUCCCAGCCGCGUCUGUGACCUACCCCACAGCUCAUGGCAAUGCCGGAUCCUUAACCCAGUGAGCAAGGCCAGGGAUCGAACCUGCAACCUCGGGGAUGCUAGUUGGGUUCGUUAACUGCUAAGCCACGAUGCGAACUCCUGUACCAGUAAAUGUUGGUUGAGUGAAGGAGUGAGUGAAUAACAAGGCCCGCCAGUUUGGCAUUACAGUUGACCCUUGAACAAUACAGGGGAGCUUCCACCCCCUGAGAAGUCAAAAAAAUUACAUAUAACUUUACAGUUGGCCAUCUGUAUUCACAGUUAUACAUCCAUGGAUUCAAGCGACCAUGGAUCAUGGAGUACUGUAGUACAUGGUUACUGAAAAACAGCAGUGUAAGUGGACCUGCACAGUUCAAACUUGUGUGGUUCAAGGGUCACCUGUACUUUGAUGUGUUCACCAGAAUUCAGAGUCUGCUAUGUAGACUCUGAGCCAACACCUAGAAUUUCCAUUUCAUCCAUUGCCCAUGCUGAUUUGCCUUGGGGAUGCACAAUCUUGGUAAUAAAUGUUAAAAGACACUGGUAAACAAAACCAGAAUGCUUAUUUAUUAAUUUAUAGUGAGAAAUAUACUUGCUCACUAGUCCGGGUAGUCCUGUUAGCCUGACCAGGGCAUUCUCUUCCCAAAGAUAGGCCACAUGGGAAUCCAAGGGACCACUGGAUUGUUUGGGAAGCCCUGAGUCAGGGCAGGUGAGCAGAUGCUGCUGGUGUGGAUUCGAAUGACCCUCUCGCCUGAGCUCUCCAUCUCCCUGGUAGGUCUUAUCUGCCCAGGACAUGGGAUUCUGCUGCCAGCCUGACUUAUCACUUCAUUUGUCUCUGUCACUUACCUCUCUUUAUGCCCCAUUUCUUAUUAACCAUCCUGUUUGACUAUUCAUGUGCACAUGUGAGAUUAAGUCUUGCCUUGGUCUCAAGUGGAAUUGCUAUACAUCUCCUGUGAUCCAGAUGUGUAGCGUUUUGUUUAAUCUCCAAAAGUUAAAAAAAAAAAAUGCCCAAAAGCCUCCACCCUAUUUCUCUCAUUUCCAAAUUAUGGUAGAGGAUGUGGAGGGUGAAGAUACUCCCCUAGCACACCACCACGUACCACCAGCUGAGCCGCCAAACUGCUUUGUAAACGGAUCCAAAGAAAAGCUGUGAACUGGGUAAUAGGAUCGUGUAGCUCUCAGGGCUGGAAUCUUCACCUAACUUAUCACUUAGCUUUUGAGCAAGAUUCCUUCACGUUUAAAACAGCAAAACAGGAGUUUCCUUUGUGGCUCAGAGAACCUGAGAGAGUGUCCAUGAGGAUGCGUGUUCCAUCCCUGGCCUCGCUCACUGGGUUAAGGAUCUUGUGUUGCCAUAGAAGGUUGCAAGAUGUGGCUCAGAUCUCACAUGGAUGUGGCUGUGGCUGUGGUGUAGGCCAGCAAUUUGCAGCUCCAAUUUGACCCCUAGCCUUGGAACUUCCAUAUGCCUUGGGUACAGCCCUAAAGAAAAGAAGAAAAAAUUGGCAGAAGAUAGAAAGCAUUCAUUUAUGAUUUGGAAAACUAGCCAAAGCAUGAAAAGGAAGCAAAGUCCCAACCUAGUUGUCCAGGCUGCUUGCACACUUGUCAUUUUCCUUCUUCUGCUGGAGAUUUUUCUUGGAGAGCUGAAUUUCCAGCCUCCCAAGGAGCUUGAGGAGAAGAAGAGCUUUUGCCAGCAUCUUUCCCAGUAAUGGAGAUAAGCAUAGAGUUCUAAUUUCUGUUGUGUCAGAAACAGAGCAGAGAGUGAGAAGCUUCUGAGUGAUGGAUCCUGAGCUGGCCACACUCCCUGCAGUGGACUGGCCCAAAGAAUUCAGGAAAUAUUCAUCAAAGAGGAGCCAAAGCAGAGGAUAUGGGGGAAGGUCCUGCUCCAGCAGGCCCCACAGGGUCCUGUUUGUUACAGGAACUCCUUCUCACACUUUGACCACACAAUUAGACGUGAUUACAUGUAAUUAAAUUGUUUUCAUUGUGUUACUUAAGUUCAGAAAUGGGAGUACCUGUUGCGGCUCGGUGGGUUAAGAACCUGACAGAGUGUCCCUGAGGAUGUGGUUUGGAUCCCUGGCCUCGCUCAGUGGGUUGAGGAUCCAGCUUAACCCACUGCAAGCUAUGGUGCAAGUUGCUGCAAGCUGUGGUGCAGGUUGCAGAUGCGGCUCUGAUCUGGUGUUGCUGUGGCUGCUGUGUAGGCCUGCAGCAGCAGCUCUGAUUCAACCCCUAGCCUGAGAAUUUCCAUUUGCUGCAGGUGUGGGCUUAAAAAAAAAUUCAAGAGAUGAGUGGUAUCUGAAGUUCUGGUGUCCCAAGACAUUAUCAGAACCAGAAAUAUAUAUUAGAGACCAAUGUUAUACUUCUCUAAAGGGGGAUGAACUGUGGCCUGAGCUUUUAGGGUUGCUGUGCAAAGCUAGAUAAGAUGCUGGGUGAAGUAGGGUAAGAAAGUGUCUGUCUCCUGUCCUGGGAAACCAGCACGGGGGCUGCAACCUGCCCUAUUCCAUGAAAAGAAUGUGAGAAAUUGGAAACCAAGCCUUCACUUGGAUGUGGGUGUGAAUUCUCACUCCGUGCUGGAAAUCAGAGCCUAGAAAUUACCUUAUAAAUAGGUGAAACUUAUAAGGCCCACACUGGGGCAAAUACUAAAUUGACCCAUGGGGAGACGUCCACAUGGCGACACAGGUGUGGACUAACUGAUCAAAGAGACUGAGGAAGGAAUCAAGACUAUAAUGCAAAAAUAAACAUCUUGAAAAAAUGUCAGACCUAAGGGAAUGGAAAGAAGUAGACAUUUUGAGAAAAGAAAUAGGUCAAAGCCAGUAAAUCUAAUGUUUUAGGAGCUAUUUAGAAAAUAAAAUUGAGGGAAUAUCUGUUGUGGCACAGUGGAAACAAAUCCAACUAGGAACCAUGAGGUUGCAGGUUCAAUUCCUGGCCUCGCUCAGUGGGUUUUUAAGGAUCUGGCGUUGCCAUGAGCUGUGGUGUAGGUCGCAGACAUGGCUCAGAUAUGAUGUUGCUGUGGCUGUGGUGUAGGCCAGCAGCUAUAGCUCCAAUUAGACUCCUAGCAUGGGAACCUCCAUAUGCCAUCCAGGUGCAGCUGUAAAAAGCAAUAAAGAAAAAAAGAAAAAAAGAAAAAAGAAAAAAAAAAUUGAGAAGUCUCACUGAUGGAUUGACCAUGGAGUUGAGGUUGGAAGUGAUAUCAAGGAUGAUAGUAUGAAUGGUGGCAUCAUUCAUUGCAGUGGGAGACACUUGAGGAAGACCAGGCUCAGGUGCUCAAUUUUGAACAUAUUGAGUGUGAGAUGCCUUGAGACAUGCAAAGGGAGCUGUCAGUACAGCUGGGUUUAAAGCUGAAAGGUCUCUAGAUCUAAAGCUCAAAAGAUACCUGGGGCCACAUCCCCAGGGCAUCACAUUUGCUUUGAUGGGUAGGGAUCCAAUAUGGAGCUAUGUCAUUACAAAGCUAAAAUACUAGAAAGCCUUAUCUAGAAAAAAAGAUACAGGGAGAUCCCCCUGGGGCACAGUGGGUUAAGGACCUGGCAUUGCCACAGUCGUGGCAUAGGUCACAGAUGCAGCUCAGAUUCAGUCCUUGGCCUGGGAAAUUCUAUAUGCCAUGAGUGCAGUCAAAAAAGAAAAAAGAAGAAAAAAGAAAAAAGAAAAAAAUAGCAGAGGAGUUCAGAGGAGGGAGAGGUCACUUCUGGCUGAUGGAAUCAGGGAAGACUUCAGGAGGGAGAUGUCAGGUGGACUGAGUCUUCAGGCUGAAGCAUCCCAGACCCUUCAGCUCCCCGGAUAUGACCCAAAGAGGUCACCUUCAGGACCUACAUCAGUGUAGUCAGUGCAGUGGCUAUUUCUACCUGGGCCAUCUAGGACAGACUCCUCCCCAAUUUAAGGCUCCUCCUUCUAUUCUUAACCAUAUCCCCCUGUUUCCUGCUGAUUGUCCAGGCCAGGAGGCAGUUUUAUCAGGGUUUCCACCAUGCUGUCCAGCAGAGUAUGCCCUCAGUGCAGGGUGAACACCCUGACAUGGGUCUAUGGGGGGUAGACUGAGACAAGAUGGAUGAGAUUUGCUGCAUGGGAAUGGUCCUUCCAAACUAGUCAUGACAAAACUGCCCCAAGCUGGUCCUAGGACACCGUGCUCACAUAUCAGUAACAGGAGGGAACAGAAGUCCAAGCUAACCCUCUCUGAGCUCCAACUCCUUCCAUGAUGCAUCUAUGAGAUUCUGAGGGUUUCAAGACCACUAAUGUCUUGUUUUUUUUUUUUUUUUUUUUUGCUUUUCAGGGCCACCCUUGAGGCAUAUGGAGGUUCCCAGGCUAGGGGUCCAAUAGGAGCUACAGUUGCUGGCCACAGCCACAGCCACAGCAAUGCAGGAUCCAAGCUGUGUCUGAGACCUACACCACAGCUCAUGGCAACAUCAGAUCCUUAACCCACUGAGUGAGGUCAGGGAUCGAACCCGCAACCUUGUGGUUCCCAGUUGGAUUCCUUUCCACUGCGCCAUGACAGGACCUUCAAAGACCACUAAUGUCUUGAGGAAGACAGGGAAGCCCUGUCCCAGUUUUCUGUGUUGAUAGAGGUGGAGAGUUCCAUUUGACAAGGGAGGGCAUCUUUCUGAUGUGCAGAAGUCAGAUGAAGGUGUAAGUUCUCUAACAGCCGUGAAUACAGGAAAUAGUGACUGGUGUUGUCUGCCAUUCCCGAGAGUCACACCCAGGAAGUACCCCCCCACACCCCACCCCACCCCCCCAGCAUAGGUCUGCCCUGGGCCCUGAAGUGAAGGUUCUUUCUGCCCCAACUGCUUAAGGAAGCUGUGGGAUACUGUUAAGAACAGAAGGAGGGGCCUUGAAUUUGGGAGGAAUCAUCCUGGAUGGCCCAGGUAAAAAUGGCCACUGCAUUGACCACCCUCAUAUAGGUCCUGAAGCUGACUGACCUUAUCCCAACAUGGCAGAUAUGGGAGAGCAGCAGGCUUGAGGCAGAGGAGGUUCUGGCUGUCGUGGGCAGUGUUCCAGCAAGCCCAGUCACUGAUGAUGGAGUCACGUGUGUUAAGAGUCUAGGUCUCUGUCAAGGCCAAGGAGUAGGGAGGUGAAGCAGCAAAGGUGAUCUGAAGGUGCUCCAGAAUUUCCUCAAGUUUACAGUAGAAGGUAAGACAACCAGGCUGUUCCUGAAGGCCGAGACCAGAUGUGGCGGUAGAAGCUGAGUUCCUCCUGCAGGGGCUCCAGAGCUUUUCCUCAGCAGUGGAAGAAAGCCAAAUCCCUGGACAUUCUCAGUGAAAAUUCUCCAGGAAGUCAUUACUGCAGCUAUUAUGACAGUUAUAAAAACUUUCUGCCCCCACACAGCCACUUUCCAGGGUGUAGCACAACCCUGGAGGCUGAGCAGGACCCACUCCUGCUUCCACACCUCAGAGACCCAAACUUUGUCCCACCUCUAAGCAACUAGCUUUUUGCCUUUUCUCAAACAUGGAUAAAGCACCUUUCUGGUUAUCUCUCUAAACCCUGGAGGAUCCUGUUGACGCUGCAUUUGUAUGACUCAAGAAGGCUACAUACAUGACUUUUAGCUGAAGAUUCUCUGUCAGAGUCCACACUGAAGACAAGCCAGAGCGUUCUUUGGGUUAAGAAAGAGCAGGACUUUUAACUCUCCCUGUAAUAAAGAGUCUGACU